GCCCACAGACUAACCAUCAGCAGUCCCCUCCCCAGGGCUGCUGGGCACAGACCGUGAUGUGGGCAUCCCGGGCUUGACCCUCCCUGGCUUCAGAAACAAGCCAAAGAAUGAGGUUUCUGCAGGAAAAACUCACGUUCCAGCCAGCAGCGCCCGCUCCAUUUCUGAUGGCAGUUGGUGGCAGUUAAUGUUCUGAAUCUCUGAUGCUGGCUCCUCCUCCUGGGUUCCGCCCACAGAAAAUGAAGGAGCAACCCAAGCUUUUCUCUCAGGACAUAAAGCAGAUCGACCUAGAUGUGACCUAUACCUUCUGAAACCACAUCAUGUUCUGGGACCGAUGGGCCUGGAGUGAGUGCCCCUGCUGCCCAGGCCCCUCUUCACCUUUCCCAGCACUGAGAUGCUCCCUUAAGAGGAUGGGCUGGCCCUCCCUGGCCCACUCACCCAGCACGAGCAGCUGGGACCCUCGCCCAACCAGGCUGUCCCUGAGGCCUGGGAGCAGCAGCAUGAGGGGACCUCCACAAGGCCCACAGCUGCAAACCACUCUCUGGGACCCUGAGACUCUGGGUCUGGCCUGCCUGGCCCCAGCCCAGGACAGCUCUUGGGACUGGCUGUAGCCAUGACGACAGAAUUCCCUCCCAAACCUCCCAUGAGCCAGGAGGCAGCAGGCAGUUGGCCCCCAGACAUCAGCUUUGAGCUGGAACACUGGGUCCCUUUCCCUUCAACAUUUGCCUGGGCCACCCCCAGGGCCACACGACAGGACCAGCCCUGCCACCCAUUGGGACCCCUAUCACUGGGAUCCCUGCCCAGCCUGCUGAAGACUGAGCCAUAAGACCCAGGACACCCCUCCUGCCCUGUGGCACCUACAGCCUAUGACCCUCUCAGGACAGUGACUGUCAUGGCCAAGACAGAGCCACAGCAGGACCGGGCAACCUGCCUAGAGGUCCCAAACGUCCACACCCCCCUGACCUCGAUGUCUACAGGGAAUCUGGACACUGAGGGUCCUCCAGAGGGGAGAGUGAUCACAAGCAAGGGGGCCCCGAGGCCCCAGCCAGCCAGCAGGAUGCCCUGCCUCUUCAAGCCAGCCUUCCUGGCAGAUGGUGCCCUCUCACACAGAACAAGUCCCUGACCCAGAGGGGCCUGGCCUGAACCCAGGCACUGGGAGGGCAGGGGCACCAUGAGCGCCCGCACAGCUAGGAUGAGGACUGAGGGGACUGAGCCCCCUGUGGUGCUGGCCAGUCCUGGAUUCUGGCCUAAGGCAAGGUGAGCCCUCCAGAGCAGUAUGUGACUACCUGAAGCCUGGGCACGCCCCACAAGGCCACAUUGGUGACGUGAAGCAGCUCUGGGAGCAGCAGGACACCCCAGCGAAGGGGUGGCAGGGAAAGGAGUACCAGCCCCAUCCUCAUGCCCACAAGUGGGCAGGGUCGGCCAGACGCCAGGGCCCUGAGCAGCCACCUGGCACCCAUGGGGCAGAACCCCAAGGCCGAGCAGACAGCCUGGGGCCCUGCUCCGAGAACCCAAGGGCUGCUGCUCCAGGUCGGGCUGGAGGACGCUGGCUGGGUACACCUAAGAGGCCAGCCCCUCACUGUGCUGUCAUAGUUGGCAACUGCCUUUCAGGGUCCCCAAAACACAGGAAAUGCGGCCCCACUCAAGUCAGAAGGAGGCUCCACGGUGGCGCACACUAGCCCCUCCUAGUCUGGUUUCAGAGUUCCCUAAGAAGGCCUCCCUCUCAGGAGGAAUGGAUGCGCCCUUGGCCUCAAUUCCUCCCUUGCUGGCUAAAGGUCAAUAAAGUGUUUUUGUGUUAAAAUGCAAGACCGGCCUGUUCUUACAGUGCCCAGAGCCCUCUGCAGGGAGCACUGGACGCCCCCCACAAGAAGCAGAGGGUGGUGCAGCGCGGACCACCUGACCAGCUCCUGCCCACUGCCCUGGCAGAGGGGCCGCCAGCCAGAUGAAGCUGAAGUUCCUGCCAUGCUUCAUGGCAGGCAACUCACACUGCAGCCUCCCAACCUCCACCAGACGCCAGGGUCAAGACCAUCCAAUGAUUUAAUCUGUGCCCAACCAGCCAGGAUGGGGCUAGGAAGAGAGGAGCAGCUGGGGUGCUGCUGGUGUCGGUUCACGACAAUCUGUGCAAAGUGUUCGUGGGAGGUCUGCGGACACUCUGUCCAUCGACCCUGGGCUGGCCAGGCUCCGGCAGCAUUCCCUCCUUCCUCCGUCUGUGCCUCCUCCCCACAGCCGGCACCUUCAGGCCCUGUGUCUGUGCCCGGCAGGGACUUCAGAGUGAGCUACUGCCGCCUAGUACUACAAGACCACCUUCUCCAGGAAGCCCUCCUGAGUUUCUUCAGACCAUACAUGGUGCUGGACAAGCAUGCACCUGAGGUGCACAGGAAAGCCCUAAGCCAAUCAGAGCCAAGGGAUGCAGAGCCGGAAGGAUGUGCAGAGAGGGUGGGCAUAAGCCAAUGCUGAGCUUAAAGGAGGGGUCCUCCACUUGCUUUGGUGGCAUGCUUGGGUGUUAGCAGAGAAAGAAAGCCUGGGCAAGUGCCCCACAGCAAGACCAGGGAGAAGGGGGUAACAGGUGGGUCCCAUCCACCCGGCAAAUACAGGACAUCCACCUGCUUCAACCAGGCUUUGCAAAGAAGGGGGAAAGGAAGCGUGGGAAGGAGAUCCAGGCCCAGGCAGGCUCCCGAGUCUGACAGCUGCUCUAGUAGUUGCUUUAGGCUGAGAAGGGCUUGAGCGAGCUGGGCGGCUGGGGCAGUGGGCAGCACCUGAGAAGCUGCGCCAACAGUGAGCCCGACUCAAAGGCCCUCAAAACGCCCAGCAAAAGAAUGAGAGCCUCCUCCAGUUCCAGAUUGACACGCAAAGGGCCUGAAGUUCCAAUCCCAGCUCAGCCACAUGCAUUUGGACCCCAACUCACCCGCUAUUAGGGGUGUGAUUUGAACCAAGUACUCAGUGUCUCUGUGCCUCAGUUUAUUUCUCUUUAAAGGGGAGGCACUCCUGCUUACACAUCUGAACUAUCCAGUAGACUCAGUCAGGAAAGAACCAGACACGUGGCAAGCACUCAACAAAGGUGCGUACCCUAUUUCUGCAGGCUGAGUUUGGGGAGCUGCUGCCCCUUUGGGGCCUGCAGAAAGGGUAAGGGUAGUGUUGAGUCGACAGACAAAACAAGAGAUGGGAAGUCCCCAGGUCACAUGCUUGGAUGUCCACAUAAUAGAGCUGCAGCCUCAAAAGAAGAGAGCAUCUCAUCACCAGAAGCAACCAAGUACCUGGCAGGGAUGCCUCUAAGGACCCUUGAUCCCCUCUGGGAACUGCCAUGCAAGCCACCCUUGUCCAGCACCUGCUGGAAGUCACAUGUACCACAACCACCCUCCUGGCUGGUCUGGCCCUUCUCUAAAUGCCCCAGAAAGUCUCCUGUCCUGUAGCCCUCAUCUUAGCAAGGGUUCCCGGGAUCCAGCCUAAAUCCAGUCCCACGAACUACCUCUGAAAAGUCCACAGGUAGCUUUUCUUGGUAGGGAGCUUGAGGUGGGGGGACAAUAGUGACACCACUGGGAGGUUAGAUGUGCAACAGGCUGAGGGUUUGCAACACAAUCCGUAUGCAAGCUCUCGUGGUCACUUUCCUCCGUGUGAGUCAACAGCUGUGAACUGCAGUGGAAGCCACAGCCACAGACUUCAUCAGGACUCCUGGCAUCUCUCCACAUGCCAGGUCCCCCGCCCUCACUUGUCCAUGCCCCUUCCUCUGCCCACACUGUCCCCGGGGGCCCCCUCUCUGAAGUGCUCCAGCCUCAUUAAUUAUUCAGCCAUUUCCUCAGUUCAGAGGCCCAGGGGCCAGAGGGUUGGCAGAGUGUGUGCUCUUUCAUGUCCCAGGUUGUGCAGGGAAUGCAGAAAUGCUGGGCUGGUGUCCAGGAUGCACCCUGGAGGCCCUCAGUCCUGGGUGCGGGGGAGCCCUCAUGCUUUAUGCUCCGGGACCCACCCCUCACAGCGCUGCCCCUGGGAUGACCCCACAGGGGCUUUUACCCCCACCCUGGGGAGCCACGACUGGAGCCACAAGCCCCCAUCCCUGCUUCUAAGUGCAGACCCGGGAGUUGAUCCCAGCAUCGGAGUCCAAGCGCCAGCUCUUUACAAGAAGCAAGUGGCAAGACUUGACUGUUCUGUAAGUAGCACAUGAGUCACCUGAGAAUGAGCUGGGGGCUGGAGGCAGCGUAAAAGCCUUAGCAAACCCCUGGGCAGAGGGAGGAAGACCCCUCCUAAAGCGGUGCCGAAUCUGAAGCCCACCCGAGAACCAGCUCCAGCGGUUGUGCCAUGACCCCCGCUUUGGUGGGCUGCGCAGGAGGAUCAAAACUGGAAUCUUUUAUGCACGUCUACAGCUGCCCUGAAUCUAGUGUCGGAUUCCUAAGCCAGGCCAAGGAGAUGGAGAGGGCCUGCCCACCCCCUAAACCCUACAGGCAGGUGGAGAGUUAACAGGAGUGCCUCCCAUUGCCUAAGACGGAGGAAGACGGAGGGGGAGAUAGCACCCAGCAGGGACAGUUUCCAUCUCCCGGCCCCUGUGCCUGCACUGCAGGAUCAGGCCUGCAGAGCAACCGUGAAGUGAGUCUUGGUCUCCGCCCCACAACGUCCCACUGCAGAAACAAGCAAAGGGGACAUGAAAGGAGAAGUCUCCGGUGAGGCCGCCAAAGGCUGAGUGGGAGGGACAGCAGGAUGCCAGGGACAGCUGCCCACUAUGGGUUCCAAAGAGUAGCUGUCCUCACGGAAAUCUGAGGAUCCUCGUUUAGCACCCAAAAAACCUAGGACCUGAUGAGGGGACCAGACAUUGACUCCUACAACCCAGGCUGCUUUAUCAAAACCUGACUUCCAGGCCCACAUUCCUUCCCCGUGCUCUCUGCUGUGGUUCCCAAGGAAGGGACCAGCCUUAGGAUGGAGUAAGAGCUCUAGACCCUGGCCAGAAGAGAUAAGACCGGCCUGCCUAAGACAUCGUGGAGGUCCCGGCUGGAGGGCCUGGAGAUCUGGAGUCUUCCAAGAAACAGGUGCUGCAGGUCCUGCCCUGGGCCUUCCCAAUGACCCCAGCCUCUGAGCUCCAGGAACCCUGCAUUUAAUAGUACACCUUAUUCAGAAAUAACAUGAUCAGCUCAGCCCAGUCUGGCCCUCGUUCCCGCCUUCCGGGUCGAGUCAUGCACCCCUCACUCACACUGUUCCCUUAUCUCUGCUCCUCUUCUCCUACUCACAGCCUCAUGGUCUUCAGGAAUCAGCUCAGGUCCCACGUGGUCCAAAAAGCCGUUCCUUCUGCUUCAACCCCUGUUGAUUCAUCCCUUUCCAUCAGCCCAAAACACGUAUUGACCAUAUACAAUUUGGCACCUCAUUAAAUCCUCCUCUUAUACCUUUCUCUCAUUAUAUAUAUAUAUAUAUAUCCAUAUAUAUAUCCCCAGCUAGGCUUACAGGCGGGAGCCAUAUCUUUCUCUUCUCUGAGAUUCCCCAGUGCACACCCUGAACCCCUUCACAUGGCUGUUCCUCCAGGUUGGGCUUCCACCCUCUGCCCAGCCCACUGCAAUCACCUGGUGGCUGCUGAAAUACAUCCUGUGCAACUUGCCAAACUAACCUUCCUCAAGCACCAGGCUGAUCAUGGCACCCCCAGGUCAGAACCGCUCAAAGGCUCCCCACUGAUUGUUCAGUGAAGCGCAAACUCCUUUGCUUGGCAUUCAAGAUCCUCCAUGACUGGGCUCAGGCGCCAUCCAAGGUUUCUCUACCGUCCCUCUCCUAUGUACACUCCAUGCUUCAGUUAACUCAAUACUUGGCCAGUUCCCAAAUACAAUACAAUUUCUCAUCUUGCUGCUCUGGCUCGUGCCAUUUCUGCCACUUGGAACACCCUUCCCUCCCACUGCCAUUUGUGGAAUUCCUACCCAUUGUUCAGGGUUCAGCUCAAAUACCAACUGUCCCUCCUCAGGGCCACACCAAGAGGAGGCCGCUGCCACCUCUGAACCCAUGCAAAAUGGUACCCCCAUGGGGGUAUUUAUUCGCCUCCUAUCACAGAGCCUCCCUAUGCACUUGUUUCUUCUCCUCUGUGAGUGUAAACGGCUGGACAAGGGCCGUCCUGCAUCUCUACAACCCAGCAAAAGGACAUUACCAAGUCUUUCUUGUUUUCUCACAUUUCCAAUCUUUUCUGAAAGAGAUUCUAAAACUCUAGGUAUGGAUUUAGCUACUGUGAAAAGCACAGUGCCACCAGAUUCAGGAUGAAUGUCCCCUUGGCUGUGGUCAGUGGGGAUGCCUCUCAGAUGCUGGCUCCAAAACCCAAUCCAGACAAGGACUUUGACGCAGGUCAGCAAUGGGCCAUAGAGGGAUGGUCACUCAUCCAGCCUUUGAAGCCCUCUGGGGUUCCCGUUCAUGGGACUCCAGAUUUGGGGGAGAUGUGGGAUUCCUAGGCCUGCCUGCCAGCAUUCUUUGGACUCUGGAGCUCAGGGUGUCUAAGAGAAGGGGGUGCAGAGGUUACAUCAGUGCCCAUGUGGUUGUUCAGGGCCAUAUGUUCUUAAUGAGAAUCUCCCAAGCCAGGGAGGCCAGUGUACAGCAGGAUCCAUGAGACCCUUAACAAACCUUCCACCCUCCCUCUGCCAAGUUUCAGUUACCCCCCCACCACCACUUAUGCCUACAAUCCUUGUCUUUCCCCACCCUACACACAUACACACACACCUCUAUAACCUGUUCUGGACAGCCCACCCAACCUGACGUGGGCUGGAUGGGCAGGUCCAUACAGAACAUGGAACAAUCAAGAACACUGAACCAGGGGUCCAAAGGCCUGGGCAAGUGAGAGCCACUUCUCCCAAGCUCAGUUUCCUUGCCUAGAGUGUGUGCACCAUCAAUAGUACUGAUCACAGACACCCUGCAAAGGACUAUGCAUUCAUCAUCUGGCCUGACAACAAGGGAAUGGACGCUGCCCCAGGCACUGGGACACCUGAGCUGCAGUCCCCGUUAUGCCUUCCUACCCUCAUGUCCUGUGUGUCCCUGACUGUCUGAAGUCCCAGUCUGCCUCCAAGGGUGGUUUGAGAACCAAAUGAAGGUGUGACUGUGAAGGUGCAGAAUGGCCAGGGGGACAGAAUGGACGACCUUGGGAGCCACAGCGGGAGGAGGGACAGAAGUCUUGCCUGGGCCUAGCCUCCAGUGGGACAUCACAGAGCCCUGGCUGGCUGGGCCAGGCUUCUCCCAAGGGCCUGGGGCCACCUGCACCAUCUCUCUGAUCACAGCAGGUUUGUAGCUGUCUCCGUUUGGGCUGGAAAUGGUAGGCUUUUUGUAGUUUUGAGUUUAAGAUCUUCAGACCCCUCCCUCUGCUCUUUUCCUUAUUAAAGUUUCC
ensembl:lncRNA